rnacentral:lncRNA from 1 species
UUGAUCUAUACAAAUAUAAACUGAUGGACCGAUUUUUAAAGUUGAAAAUAAAAAACGGAUUGUCUCUUUGUUUGUGGGGGUCCUCAUUGAUCUGCAAAAUCUGAUGAGAAAAAAAAAACUGAAUAAGUUUGGUAACACUAAGGUGGGGAUCUUUUCUUCCUUUACCACUCUAAACCUAUCUCUUCUCUCUCCCCUGCCUCACUUCCCUUCUCUCAAAUCAUAUUUCUAAUAUAUCUCCUCCGGGAGAGAUUAUUGAUGAAUCGCAUGCAGUGUCCACUGAGUCAACUUUGAUUAACUGUAAAUUAAAUAAAACAAAAUAGCAAUGUUGAGUAUAUUGGAUAAUUUAGCAAGUCAUGCUAGAUUAAUGGCUCGUUACAACAAAAUCUAUUACUUUAGGUACUAGCCAGUAGUCUAGUAGUACUAGGGGGUGGAGGGGUCUAAUUAAGUAGAUCCACUGACUUUCUUCUUUGAAUGCUAGACAAAACUAAUUCGCUUUUCAACCGAAAAUACAAGUCUGUGAUACAAAAAAAAAAAUCACCAAGCUGAUUAUAUAUCUAACCUUCUUAGAGAUUCU